GCUUGUCUGCGUGACUGGCGAGAACAGGAUGGGGCACCAUCAUGGAGCGCAGACACAUUCUGGCCGUUCGCCUGGGCCGCCGAU
rnacentral:ncRNA from 2 species